rnacentral:misc_RNA from 1 species
AAGUCGUAACAAGGUUUACCGUGAGGUGAACCUGCGGAAGGAUCAUUAUUGAAUAAGCUUGGUUGGGUUGUUGCUGGCUCGUUCGGGGCAUGUGCACGUCCAACACCAAUCUUUUACCACCUGUGCACCUUUUGUAGACCUGGGUAUCUCUCGAGGAAACUCGGUAUGGGGACUGCUGAGUGUCAAAAGCCAGCUUUCCUUACAUUUCCGGUCUAUGUCUUUAUAUAUAUACACCAUUAGUAUGUCUUAUGAAUGUUAAUUAUCGGACUUGACUGUCCAAUAAAACCUUAUACAA